CAGAAAGUAGAUCAUUCGGAGAGACAUAGAAGAUAAAUGGAACAAGGACAAGAAGCAAAACUACUUCCAAGCUUGGGAUCUGGUGGAAGAAAAGAGGAAGUCUUCUCAAGCACUUCGAUAAGACUUUCAUCUCUGGACACAAGUCAUGAAAUAAAAGAGAAAUAAUUC